rnacentral:rRNA from 1 species
UACGGAGGGUGCAAGCGUUAUCCGGAUUCACUGGGUUUAAAGGGAGCGUAGGUGGGUUGGUAAGUCAGUGGUGAAAUCCCCGAGCUUAACUUGGGAACUGCCAUUGAUACUAUCAGUCUUGAAUACUGUGGAGGUUAGCGGAAUAUGUCAUGUAGCGGUGAAAUGCUUAGAUAUGACAUAGAACACCAAUUGCGAAGGCAGCUGGCUACUCGGAUAUUGACACUGAGGCACGAAAGCGUGGGGAUCAAACAGG